rnacentral:rRNA from 1 species
GACGGAGGAUGCAAGUGUUAUCCGGAAUCACUGGGCGUAAAGCGUCUGUAGGUGGUUUAAAAAGUCCACUGUUAAAAAUUGAAGCUUAACUUCAAAGAUGCCGUGGAAACUUUUAAACUUGAGUAUGAUAGGGGUAGAGGGAAUUUCCAGUGGAGCGGUGAAAUGCGUAGAGAUCGGAAAGAACACCAACGGCGAAAGCACUCUGCUGGGCCGACACUGGCACUGAGAGACGAAAAGCUAGGGGAGCGAAUGGG